AACGAACGCUGGCGGCAUGCCUAACACAUGCAAGUCGAGCGCCCGUAGCAAUACGGGAGCGGCGCACGGGUGAGUAACGCGUGGGAACCUGCCCAGAGGUUCGGGACAACCGCGGGAAACUGCGGCUGAUACCGGAUGAUACCUGAGGGUCAAAGAUUUAUCGCCUUUGGAGGGGCCCCGCGUCGGAUUAGGUAGUUGGUGGGGUAACGGCCUACCAAGCCUAUGAUCCGUAACUGGUCUGAGAGGAUGACCAGUCACACUGGGACUGAGACACGGCCCAGACUCCUACGGGAGGCAGCAGUGGGGAGUAUUGGACAAUGGGGGGCAACCCUGAUCCAGCAAUGCCGCGUGGGUGAUGAAGGCCUUCGGGUUGUAAAGCCCUUUCGGCGGGGACGAUGAUGACGGUACCCGCAGAAGAAGCCCCGGCUAACUUCGUGCCAGCAGCCG
rnacentral:rRNA from 1 species